rnacentral:rRNA from 1 species
UAGGGAAUCUUCCGCAAUGGACGCAAGCCUGACCGAGCAACGCCGCGUGAGGGAAGAAGGACUUCGGGUUGUAAACUGCUGUUGUAAGAGACGAACAGCCGACAGAUAAACCGGGAUGCGUGUGACGGUAUCGAACCAGUAAGCCACGGCUAACUACGUGCCAGCAGCCGCGGUAAUACGUAGGGGGCAAGCGUUAACCGGAUUUACUGGGCGUAAAGCGAGCGCAGGCGGUCAUUUAAGACUGUUGUGAAAGCCCCCGGCUCAACCGGGGAGGUGCCGUUGUAACUGCUUGCCUUGAGUGCAGCAGAGGGGGGUGGAAUUCCAUGUGUAGCGGUGAAAUGCGUAGAUAUAUGGGCGAACACCGGUGGCGAAGGCGACUCCCUGGUCCGUUACUGACGCUGAUGCACGAAAGCGUGGGUAGCAAACAGG